GAUAGAAAAAAUUAAAAAAAUGUUAUAAUAAAAGAAGCUAAAAGAGGUAUAUGUAAUUCAAGUUGAGAAGAGAGAUAAGAAUAACAUAUAGUUUUUUAUUAUAUUUGGAUUGAUUAGGAUAUAAAAAAUAAAUUAAUGUGGGGUUUUAAGAGGUAAAUGGAUAGAGACCAUGUAAUUGAGGUGGAGUAUUGAAAGAUAAAUAAAGAAAUAAUAAAUAAAAAAUGAUGGAGGAGGGAGAGAGGUCAAAGUGGUAUAAGGAAGAGAGAGGUGGGAUAUAUGAAUCAUUAAAAAGAUAGAAUGUAGAUCAUAAUUAUUCUUUUUAUCUUUUGAUAUAAUCCUUUUAGGAUAUAAAAAUAUAAAUAGAUGUGAAGUUUAAAUAUAAAAGAUAGACGGAUAGAGUUGGGGUGGGAUGUUAAAAGAUAAAUAAAAAUAUAAUUAAUAAAAAAAGAGAAAGAAG
rnacentral:lncRNA from 1 species